GACGAACGCUGGCGGCGUGCCUAAUACAUGCAAGUUGAGCGCUGAAGGUUGGUACUUGUACCGACUGGAUGAGCAGCGAACGGGUGAGUAACGCGUGGGGAAUCUGCCUUUGAGCGGGGGACAACAUUUGGAAACGAAUGCUAAUACCGCAUAAAAACUUUAAACACAAGUUUUAAGUUUGAAAGAUGCAAUUGCAUCACUCAAAGAUGAUCCCGCGUUGUAUUAGCUAGUUGGUGAGGUAAAGGCUCACCAAGGCGAUGAUACAUAGCCGACCUGAGAGGGUGAGCGGCCACAUUGGGACUGAGACACGGCCCAAACUCCUACGGGAGGCAGCAGUAGGGAAUCUUCGGCAAGGGACGAAAGUCUGACCGAGCAACGCCGCGGGAGUGAAGAAGGUUGUCGGAUCGUAAAACUCGGUUGGUAGAGAAGAACGUUGGUGAGAGUGGAAAGCUCAUCAAGUGACGGUAACUACCCAGAAAGGGACGGCUAACUACGUG
rnacentral:rRNA from 1 species